rnacentral:RNase_P_RNA from 1 species
CGAGUUGGCCAGGUAGUCGCUGAUUUUAAAUGAACGUUUAGUAUCAGAGGAAAGUCCGGGCUCCGACAGGGCAAGAUGCCAGGUAACGCCUGGGAGGUGUGAACCUACGGAAAGUGCCACAGAAAUGAUACCGCCUAUUUUAGAAUAGGUAAGGGUGAAAUGGUGCGGUAAGAGCGCACCGCGCUGUUGGUAACAACAGUGGCAGGGUAAACCCCAUCUGGAGCAAGACCAAAUAGAGGUUCAAUGGCGUGGCCCACGCUGAAUCUGGGUUGGUCGCUAGAAUGUAUUGGUGACAGUGCAUCAAGAUGAAUGACUAUCCAAGACAGAACCCGGCUUAUCGGCCAACUCAAAUU